rnacentral:rRNA from 1 species
GACAGAGGUGCCAAGCGUUAGGCGGAAUCACUGGGCGUAAAGCGUGCGUAGACGGCUAUCUAAGUCGGGUGUGAAAGCCCCGGGCUCAACCUGGGAAUUGCAUUCGAGACUGAAUAGCUAGGGUACGGUAGAGGGAAGUGGAAUUUCCGGUGUAGCGGUGAAAUGCGUAGAUAUCGGAAGGAACACCGGUGGCGAAGGCGGUUCUCUGGGCCUUACCUGACGCUGAGGAGCGAAAGCGUGGGGAGCAAACAGG